rnacentral:rRNA from 1 species
GAUGAACGCUGGCGGCGUGCUUAACACAUGCAAGUCGAACGAAGCACUUUAUUUGAUUUCCUUCGGGAGUGAUUAUUUUGUGACUGAGUGGCGGACGGGUGAGUAACGCGUGGGUAACCUGCCUUGUACAGGGGGAUAACAGUUGGAAACGGCUGCUAAUACCGCAUAAGCGCACAGCAUCGCAUGAUGCAGUGUGAAAAACUCCGGUGGUAUAAGAUGGACCCGCGUUGGAUUAGCUAGUUGGUGAGGUAACGGCCCACCAAGGCGACGAUCCAUAGCCGACCUGAGAGGGUGACCGGCCACAUUGGGACUGAGACACGGCCCAAACUCCUACGGGAGGCAGCAGUGGGGAAUAUUGCACAAUGGGCGAAAGCCUGAUGCAGCGACGCCGCGUGAGCGAAGAAGUAUUUCGGUAUGUAAAGCUCUAUCAGCAGGGAAGAUAAUGACG